GGAAUUGUUUUCUAAAUUCACACAUAUUUCGACACAUGCUUCGGGGUGCCUUUAAGCUUAAUAUUAGAAAGUAAAAAAGGUCAGGUGCAUGGAAAUAUGGAGGUUUUAAC
rnacentral:sRNA from 1 species